AUUGAACGCUGGCGGCAGGCUUAACACAUGCAAGUCGAGCGGGGUGAUGGUGCUUGCACUAUCACUUAGCGGCGGACGGGUGAGUAAUGCUUAGGAAUCUGCCUAUUAGUGGGGGACAACAUCUCGAAAGGGAUGCUAAUACCGCAUACGUCCUACGGGAGAAAGCAGGGGAUCACUUGUGACCUUGCGCUAAUAGAUGAGCCUAAGUCGGAUUAGCUAGUUGGUGGGGUAAAGGCCUACCAAGGCGACGAUCUGUAGCGGGUCUGAGAGGAUGAUCCGCCACACUGGGACUGUGACACGGCCCAGACUCCUAGGGGAGGCAGCAGUGGGGAAUAUUGGACAAUGGGGGGAACCCUGAUCCAGCCAUGCCGCGUGUGUGAAGGAGGCCUUAUGGUUGUAAAGCACUUUAAGCGAGGAGGAGGCUACUUUAGUUAAUACCUAGAGAUAGUGGACGUUACUCGCAGAAUAAGCACCGGCUAACUCUGUGCCAGCCGCCGCAGUAA
rnacentral:rRNA from 1 species